UGACCCAGACGUCUCAUUCUCGGCGACCGGGGCUGGACAGUCUCGAGGCCUGGAUGUGGAGCUCCAACUGCUUGCGACCCGUGGUGCGCGACAUCGGCCACGGCUCCCCGGGGCUGACGACUCACGGCCUGGGGAAGCAGAGAGUGGCCGAUCACCACCGAGGCCGCGACUCUAUACUAGAAUUACCAAGCGCGCUCCAUUGCGGAAGCGCAGGACCUACGUAGGGGGCUGAAGGGAAAAGGCCCCGCUAGGGCGCGAACUGGACCGGGAGUCAGCGCUCGCCCGGCCUCAGGGGCGUUCCAGGCCAAGGUAACCGAAGAUUAAAGCCACAAGACCGUUCUGUAAAAUGCUGGGUGGCUAGAAGAAGCUGGAAUUCGGUGGUCUGGAGUGUUCUGCUAGAGAAGGGAUCAUAAGGUCACAACAAUGUGAUCUACUUAUGACCCGAAAGAAAAAAAAAAGGUGUACUUUUAAAGCAAACUUGAGGCAUCCAUUGCCUGUCUGCACGUGGUGCUCUUCCCUUCACCGAUAAUUAUGAAUCUCCUAGUUGACUGCCCUCAAAUCCCCUCCCUCCAGACAAAAUUCUACCUACCCUGGUGGGUAUUUACUGCAAGCAGCGGAGGUACUGCUGGGACCUAAAGCAGAAAGGAGAAUGCCCAGAAGUAAUGACAGAGGCUUCUUCCUGCUGGGGCUGACUUAGAAAGCCCAAGAACCAGAACUUAAUUCUGUGGACCGUUGAAAGUCAUCCCAAAGAUCUGUGUUUUAGAAAUUAUAGGCUCAAUACUUGGAUAGAUAAAAAAAACAAAACAAAACAAAAAACAGUUAGGAGGCCCUUUUUAUAGGAGGUAGAGACUAAUGAGAGCCUGAACUACAGCAGUGGGGAAGGAAGAAAGCUGUAGGUCCAGGAAAUAGGUAAUCCAGAAAAGUGGCUUGAGGAGUGGUCAGUCAGAAUUCUACAGAUAGUUAUUAAGUCAGACUCCAAUUUUCCUUGUUCAUCACUAUAUUAUUACAGCAUAGUUGAGUGCUGCCAAGUCACACACAAAAUUGUCUCUACAAUCUUUGGGUUCCAAAACUUGAAACAAAUUCCAUCCAGGCCCUGAAAAUGAACAGUACCUUAGGAAUUUGUGGGGCAAUAUUAAAAGUUCUAACAUACAGCAAGUUGAAUCCUCACUGCAAAAGGAAAUAAAAACCAUGCUAUGGUUUGCCAUCACUUGGCUAGUCUCAAUCUAGACCAGCCCAACAAGGAUGCUGUGAGUGGAGUAUAAAUGGCUGGACAGUGAUCCCCUCAACUGGGGAUGGGGCAGCUAGUGAAGAACUCUUUCCAUAUGUGCUGUGAUGCAAGAAGUUUUUCAAAGCAUUCCCUACACUGGGGCUUUUACAUAGCACCCCUUAUUUUAGCCUUCUUUAUUUGUUUUUAUCCCCUGUAGAUCUCAUAUGAAUGAGUAUCCUUACUUCCUAAGCCAGGACUCUGCACAUAGUCUGUAGCAAGUCAUUGUUGAAUGAAUGAGGAAGGAUUUAUGUUAAUUUUUGAAGUCAGAAUUUUGAUACAUAGAGGAAAAGAGCAGUCCAUGGAGAAGGGUGAUAGUCUAGAAGGAAAACAUGUUUUCUCUAGGAUCUUCCUGGGACGCAGCAGACCUUUGAUGAAUAUGUUUUGGAUGAAUAAACUUAAGUGAAGAUCGCUGAAGAAUCUGGAAGGAUUCCAGGAAACUGCCCUAUUUGGUUGGAACGAAUAAUGCAUGAAGAGAAAUACUGACAAAAAUAAUCUUAGAAAGUAGGUUGAAGCUGAGUCAAUAAGGGAAGUGGAAAACUAUAAAAUGAGAUACUAUGUACCAGACAUAUGUUAUAUUAUUUUUUUUCACAAUGGGGUGAAAUUGAGUAUAAUCUACAUUUUACAGAUGGGGAAACUAGCUCUCAGAAUUAAAAUAAUUUGACCAUAGACCUCAAAUUACCGUAGAUAGUUGUCAGAACCAGUACUUGGACCCAGGUCUUUUGCUCCAAAAUCAGUUUUCUUAUAUGUUUAUGGUACUUCUUUAAAAGCUGGACUGCAUGUUGCAUUGAAAUUUUACUCUUGACUCCAUGGGAAAACAAAAAUUUUUAAAUUUACUUAUAUACAUCUUUAUUUUUAUAUGGUGCUGAGGAUCGAACCCAGUGUCUCAGAUAUGCUAGGUAAGUGCUCUACCUCUGAGCCACAACCCUAGCCCUAAAACAAAUUUCCUUAGUGAAGGAGCAACAAGGCCAGAACUAAGAUAAAUCUGCUAGCAUAUAUACAGUAUAUAUUGAGUGGGGAAAGCCUAAUUUGGUAAUGAUUAUCUCUGAGCCUAGUGGCAAAGAAAUUUCUAAACAACCUGAACAUCCCCGUGUGCUAUGGAUUCAGAAUUCACUUGGGAUUGAUAGCUUCAUUUCUGUCACAAUGGCCAACUAUAUCAACAAGACUUUAAACUUUAUUAAAUUAAUUUUAAGUAGAGA